CCUACGGGUGACAGCAGUGGGGAAUAUUGGACAAUGGGGGGAACCCUGAUCCAGCGACGCCGCGUGAGUGAAGAAGUAUUUCGGUAUGUAAAGCUCUAUCAGCAGGGAAGAAAGAAAUGACGGUACCUGACUAAGAAGCCCCGUCUAACUACGUGCCAGCAGCCGCGGUAAUACGUAGGGGGCAAGCGUUAUCCGGAUUUACUGGGUGUAAAGGGAGCGUAGAAGGCGAGGCAAGUCUGAAGUGAAAGGCGGGGGCCCAACCCCCGGACUGCUUUGGAAACUGUAUGGCUUGAGUACAGGAGAGGUAAGUGGAAUUCCUAGUGUAGCGGUGAAAUGCGUAGAUAUUAGGAGGAACUCCAGUGGCGAAGGCAGCUUACUGAACUGUAACUGACGUUGAGGCUCGAAAGCGUGGGGAGCAAACAGGAUUAGAUACCCCUGUAGUC
rnacentral:rRNA from 1 species